ACGUAGGUCACGAACGUUAUUCGGAAUCACUGGGCUUAAAGGGCUCGUAGGCGGCUCAGCAAGUAGAAGUUGAAAUCCGGCGGCUCACCCGUCGAACUGGUCUCUAAACUGCUGGGCUGGAGUCAUGGAGGGGUGCGUGGAACUUCUGGUGGAGCGGUGAAAUGCGUAGAUAUCAGAAGGAACGCCGGCGGCGAAAGCGACUCUCUGGUCCGAAACUGACGCUGAGUGUGCGAAAGCUAGGGGAGCAAACGG
rnacentral:rRNA from 1 species